AUUGAACGCUGGCGGCAUGCCUUACACAUGCAAGUCGAACGGCAGCACGGGAGCAAUCCUGGUGGCGAGUGGCGAACGGGUGAGUAAUAUAUCGGAACGUGCCCAGUCGUGGGGGAUAACGUAGCGAAAGCUACGCUAAUACCGCAUACGAUCUAUGGAUGAAAGCGGGGGAUCGCAAGACCUCGCGCGAUUGGAGCGGCCGAUAUCAGAUUAGGUAGUUGGUGAGGUAAAGGCUCACCAAGCCGACGAUCUGUAGCUGGUCUGAGAGGACGACCAGCCACACUGGGACUGAGACACGGCCCAGACUCCUACGGGAGGCAGCAGUGGGGAAUUUUUGGACAAUGGGCGCAAGCCUGAUCCAGCAAAUGCCGCGUGCAGGAUGAAGGCCUUCGGUU
rnacentral:rRNA from 1 species